rnacentral:tRNA from 2 species
CCCUGGUUAUCUCAGUUGGUAGAUCGCUCCACUGGAAAUGGAGAGGUCCCGGGUUCGAUACCCGGACCAGGCG